rnacentral:rRNA from 1 species
AUGGCGUCGGCUGGCGAGGGGACGGGCAUCAUCAUCCACGCGCGGCCGCUGCAGGACGCGGCGUCGGCUGGCGCCAGCGGCGGGGGUUCGUACACGGCGGUGUUCGUGGUGCUGGGCGUCAUCGCGGCGCUCAUCGUCAUCUCCUGCCUCGUCGGCCAGGUGUGCACCAAGAGGCACCUCCGCGCGCGCCCGCGCAGGGACCGCGUCGCCUACUACGACGACGACCUCGAGGGCGGCGGGUACGGCCACGGCCACGGCGUCGCCAAGAUGGAGGCCGCCGCGCCGGCCACGGUGACCGCGGUGGUGCCGGCCGCGGCGUCCGUGGAGAUGAGGCAGGUGGCUUGA